AUGCUCCUGUACUGUAAGUCGCUCUGGAUAAGAGUGUCUGCUAAAUGACCAAAA
rfam:Salmo salar isolate Sally breed double haploid chromosome ssa13, whole genome shotgun sequence.